rnacentral:tRNA from 1 species
GGGAAGGUGGCUCAGUGGUAGAGCGCUUGCCUUACAUGCAUAAGGCCCUGGGUUCGAUUCCUCCGCACCA